rnacentral:piRNA from 1 species
GCCUGUAGGUCAAGAUGUAGAACU